AUUGAACGCUGGCGGCAUGCCUUACACAUGCAAGUCGAACGGCAGCACGGAGCUUGCUCUGGUGGCGAGUGGCGAACGGGUGAGUAAUAUAUCGGAACGUACCCAAGAGUGGGGGAUAACGUAGCGAAAGUUACGCUAAUACCGCAUACGAUCUAAGGAUGAAAGCAGGGGAUCGCAAGACCUUGUGCUCCUGGAGCGGCCGAUAUCUGAUUAGCUAGUCGGUGAGGUAAAGGCUCACCAAGGCAUCGAUCAGUAGCUGGUCUGAGAGGACGACCAGCCACACUGGAACUGAGACACGGUCCAGACUCCUACGGGAGGCAGCAGUGGGGAAUUUUGGACAAUGGGGGCAACCCUGAUCCAGCAAUGCCGCGUGAGUGAAGAAGGCCUUCGGGUUGUAAAGCUCUUUUGUCAGGGAAGAAACGGUCGUGGCUAAUAUCCAUGGCUAAUGACGGUACCUGAAGAAUAAGCACCGGCUAACUACGUGCCAGCCGCCGCAGUAACAC
rnacentral:rRNA from 1 species